GGUGGUGACUAUAGCGAAAGGGAAACACUCGUUCCCAUCCCGAACACGGCCGUUAAGCCUUUCAGCUCCGAUGAUACUGUGGGGGCAGCCCCAUGGGAAACUAGGACGUUGCCACUC
rnacentral:rRNA from 1 species